rnacentral:rRNA from 1 species
CCUACGGGAGGCAGCAGUGGGGAAUAUUGCACAAUGGGGGAAAGCCUGAUGCAGCGACGCCGCGUGAGUGAAGAAGUAAUUCGUUAUGUAAAGCUCUAUCAGCAGGGAAGAAAAUGACGGUACCUGAGUAAGAACCCCCGGACAACUACGUGCCAGCAGCCGCGGGAAUACGGAGGGGGCAAGCGUUAUCCGGAUUUACUGGGGGUAAAGGGAGCGUAGACGGGAGUGCAAGUCUGGAGGGAAAGGCGGGGGCUCAACCCCCGGACUGAUCUUGAAACUGUACGGCUGGAGUGCAGGAGAGGUAAGGGGAAUGCGUAGUGUAGCGGUGAAAUGCGUAGAUAUUAGGAGGAACACCAGUGGCGAAGGCGGCUUACUGGACUGUAACUGACGUUGAGGCUCGAAAGCGUGGGGAGCAAACAGGAUUAGAUACCCGAGUAGUC